AUAGAGACAAUAACUCAAAUAACAUUAUGAUCUAGUAUUCAAAUGAGCAAAAACAACAACUUUUUCUUUUUAUUUUGCUUACUAGUAUCCCUAGAGUUCAUAGGGGUUCACAUUCCGCGUGAACCUAAUAUCUAAACUUAUCAACUAACCGGUCAUUCUCAUACUCCGUCCGGUAUGAGCGCCAAAAAUACUAUCCAUCGAUACCCCUUCUGGUAUGAGGAUAAAUCGGGUC
rnacentral:lncRNA from 1 species